rnacentral:rRNA from 1 species
AAGGCUGAGGUGUGAUGACGAGGCACUACGGUGCUGAAGUAACAAAUGCCCUGCUUCCAGGAAAAGCCUCUAAGCAUCAGGUAACAUCAAAUCGUACCCCAAACCGACACAGGUGGUCAGGUAGAGAAUACCAAGGCGCUUGAGAGAACUCGGGUGAAGGAACUAGGCAAAAUGGUGCCGUAACUUCGGGAGAAGGCACGCUGGUGUGUAGGUGAAGUCCCUGCGGAUGGAGCUGAGACCAGUCGAAGAUACCAGCUGGCUGCAACUGUUUAUUAAAAACACAGCACUGUGCAAACACGAAAGUGGACGUAUACGGUGUGACGCCUGCCCGGUGCCGGAAGGUUAAUUGAUGGGGUUAUCCGUAAGGAGAAGCUCUUGAUCGAAGCCCCGGUAAACGGCGGCCGUAACUAUAACGGUCCUAAGGUAGCGAAAUUCCUUGUCGGGUAAGUUCCGACCUGCACGAAUGGCGUAAUGAUGGCCAGGCUGUCUCCACCCGAGACUCAGUGAAAUUGAACUCGCUGUGAAGAUGCAGUGUACCCGCGGCAAGACGGAAAGACCCCGUGAACCUUUACUAUAGCUUGACACUGAACAUUGAGCCUUGAUGUGUAGGAUAGGUGGGAGGCUUUGAAGCGUGGACGCCAGUCUGCGUGGAGCCAACCUUGAAAUACCACCCUUUAAUGUUUGAUGUUCUAACGUUGGCCCCUUACCGGGGUUGCGGACAGUGUCUGGUGGGUAGUUUGACUGGGGCGGUCUCCUCCCAAAGCGUAACGGAGGAGCACGAAGGUUAGCUAAUCCUGGUCGGACAUCAGGAGGUUAGUGCAAUGGCAUAAGCUAGCUUGACUGCGAGCGUGACGGCGCGAGCAGGUGCGAAAGCAGGUCAUAGUGAUCCGGUGGUUCUGAAUGGAAGGGCCAUCGCUCAACGGAUAAAAGGUACUCCGGGGAUAACAGGCUGAUACCGCCCAAGAGUUCAUAUCGACGGCGGUGUUUGGCACCUCGAUGUCGGCUCAUCACAUCCUGGGGCUGAAGUAGGUCCCAAGGGUAUGGCUGUUCGCCAUUUAAAGUGGUACGCGAGCUGGGUUUAGAACGUCGUGAGACAGUUCGGUCCCUAUCUGCCGUGGGCGCUGGAGAAUUGAGGGGGGCUGCUCCUAGUACGAGAGGACCGGAGUGGACGCAUCACUGGUGUUCGGGUUGUCAUGCCAAUGGCACUGCCCGGUAGCUAAAUGCGGAAGAGAUAAGUGCUGAAAGCAUCUAAGCACGAAACUUGCCCCGAGAUGAGUUCUCCCUGAGACUUUAAGUCUCCUGAAGGAACGUUAAAGACGA